CUAAAAUGAAUUUGCACAUAAAUUGAAUAUUGAGACAGGAGAGGCAAAUAAUGUUCUGUUUUCUUUAAUUACAAUGAAUUCCACAUUCUCAUGUGCAGAAAGAUCAAAUAAAAACCAAUAAACGCCCAAAAAAACUUGAGCCUGCAAAGUUCCCCAAAAAUCCCCUAAAACAGUGAUGUCAAAACCUGGAAUCUAAUGCCGAAAAUCAAAUCAUUCAUCGUCGUCCCGCUUCUUCGGUUUUCUAUAUGUUUCCUCGAUGUGCUUGGUUAUUAAGAGGCCAUUGUUCGCGAGCUUUCUAAUGUUUGGAACGCAACGUAGAUGCCAAACACAGUCCCUACGAUGAACGAGAAGCCGCUUCUAAUGAUUCCCAUCCAUGAGGUUUCAAACCUUCAGGUAAUGGUAUUGGUAAUAGAUUUUAGAUAUCACCCAAAAGAUUGAAGGGUUUAGAUCAGAGUAAAAGGGUUUUGGUGUUCUCUCUUUAGGUCCAAUCCAGUCCUAUUGCUUUGUCAAUUUCCAUGAAAUGUAAGAGGCUGCAAAACCCACCAUUCAUUGUGCAUGCAUGUAUUAUAUUUGAAAACCUCUCAAGUGUUAUUGAG
rnacentral:misc_RNA from 1 species